rnacentral:rRNA from 1 species
UCUUGACCUCGGAUCAGGUAGGGAUACCCGCUGAACUUAAGCAUAUCAAUAAGCGGAGGAAAAGAAACCAACAGGGAUUGCCCUAGUAACGGCGAGUGAAGCGGCAACAGCUCAAAUUUGAAAUCUGGCGUCUUCGGCGUCCGAGUUGUAAUUUGCAGAGGGCGCUUUGGCAUUGGCAGCGGUCCAAGUUCCUUGGAACAGGACGUCACAGAGGGUGAGAAUCCCGUACGUGGUCGCUAGCCUUUACCGUGUAAAGCCCCUUCGACGAGUCGAGUUGUUUGGGAAUGCAGCUCUAAAUGGGAGGUAAAUUUCUUCUAAAGCUAAAUACUGGCCAGAGACCGAUAGCGCACAAGUAGAGUGAUCGAAAGAUGAAAAGCACUUUGGAAAGAGAGUAAAAAGCACGUGAAAUUGUUGAAAGGGAAGCGCUUGCAGCCAGACUUGCCUGUAGUUGCUCAUCCGGGUUUUUACCCGGUGCACUCUUCUAUAGGCAGGCCAGCAUCAGUUUGGGCGGUUGGAUAAAGGUCUCUGUCAUGUACCUCUCUUCGGGGAGAACUUAUAGGGGAGACGACAUGCAACCAGCCUGGACUGAGGUCCGCGCAUCUGCUAGGAUGCUGGCGUAAUGGCUGUAAGCGGCCCGUCUUGAAACACGGACCAAGGAGUCUAACAUCUAUGCGAGUGUUUGGGUGUCAAGCCCGAGCGCGUAAUGAAAGUGAACGGAGGUGGGAACCUUUCGGGGUGCACCAUCGACCGAUCCUGAUGUCUUCGGAUGGAUUUGA